ensembl:lncRNA
CGUGGCUGUGCUUCCUGCGGGGCCUGUGGGGCCUGUGGGGCCCGUGGAGGCUUCCUCCAGCCUCUUAUCUGCUCCUGGGCUCUUAGACCAAUUAGAACUCGUGCAACAAAAGACAGAGACCCAAGUCUGGCAUCCCCACUGUUCUCUUCAUGGCUCAUCUCAUCCCAUGGCUGGCUGGUCUCGCUGCAGAGCAAUGGCAUUGGUUUGUCCCAGGCCUGGAGCUAGGCAUGAUUGGAGUCAAAGGGAACUGUAUUACCACAGGUGUGAGGAUGCAGCCACCCACCAUCAGCCAAUGCACAGCCCAGCCUGGAGUCCCCGAAGGCUUCCCCAGGGACAGAACCGAGGAUCUCCCUCAGGUUCCUCUCUCUGGGGCACCAGCAGUAUUUUGGCUUCCACAUAGGUCUAUGAGGAACAACCCAAGGCAUCUGCCGGAUGUGCUGUCAGAGGGUUUCUGGAAGACAGAUGGCCAAACGGAAGUUUGGGACGAGGUGCAAUGGCGUGGGUGCAGAUCCUAACGACGCCUCCUUCAGCUGAGAAGCAUUCUUGGUCCUCUCUGAACCUCCAUUUCCUCCCCCUGCGAAGUAGAAAGGACAGCAGGCGUUCGUCAGAGAGAGCCGCGGAGAUUGAGAGCUGGGGCCAGGCAGGAGGCGCGAGUAAACACCAGCUGCCAUGGGUGCAGCAGCACCAGAGGCUCCGGGGGAGCAGGGAGCCGGGAGGGAGAUGAGAGAGCUCUGGAGCGUCUCCUCCACCAGGCAGGAACAGGGUUAAACAGGUUGAACUGCAUUUCAGCGAGAGGCCUUGGAUAAGAUCCAGAAAGAGAAACCUGGGUAGAAAAGGAGAACUGAUCCUUCAGAUUAACACAAAGCCAGUGGUGUGAACCCCAGUCAUCAGUGUGAACUCUCAGCCAGUGGUGUGAACCCCCAGUCGCCAGUGUGAACUCUCAGCCAGUGGCAUGAACUCCCAUCAU